UCUCUUCCACUCACGAGUUCUUUCAGGAGAUGGAGGAAGUUAUAUAUUGACACCCUCUCUUCAUCAUCUUCUCUACAAAGGGAAAAAUUAAUGGUUCCUUCUCCGUCUAAUCUGACAGCGUGGGAUCAUUAGCCAACCAGCUUAUUGCACAAGGCAAAAGCAAAGUGUCAUGGAGAGUGCGCCUACUUCGCUCGUGGAUGUAGAGUAUCCUUAGAUGGAUGCAGUACCAAUCACCAAACAAAUACUUAGAAUUUUUAUUAUAUUUAUUUUUUGUGGAACCGCACUAAAUUAUGCAAUGUUUGGAUUAUUGUAUUACUACUUUAGUUUGAUAUGAUUUUGGAUUUUCAA